AAUUUCAAAAGAAAUUGAGAAGUGCACACAACUCGACAACAAUUGGAAAGUUUUCAAAGAUAACCCAAAAAGAGGACGAAAAAGGAAAUAGUGAAUAGAUAAUAAUAUUAUUUUUUAUAUUUUACAGGACCCCCACAGUUGAGCAGACAGCUAGACGCCUUCGAUUGAAGCUAGCAUGGAUCAAACAGCUACAGCAACAAAUUCCAAUUGACUCCGAGAAAAUUGUUAUGAAACUCAAAGAAAUUCUAAAAUGUUUAUUGCUCAUAUUUCUCUACUGCAACGACAAACGACAAAUCAACAAAUUCAUUAACARCAACAAAAAGCCAUCUCAUCAAGAGAACCAAUCCAAAUCGAAACGCCUUAAGAGACUGCAAUGCAACUGCCAGCAGCCCCAAACCGAAGCAUUGUGCCCCAAACAACAGACCCGGCCACCAAAUCCUACAGAAUUCCGACAAAAACUACAAGGAAGGAAACCCAAAUUCAAGUUAGCAACAACAAAAUCGACAUUCGCAUAUAACGGCACAAAUGUUGCGACGGCGCCUGCUACGCUGAUGACGAUGAUGAUGAAGACGAUGACAAAGCGUAAGAUCGAACAUUUGACGGCGAAAGUAGCAGGCAGCAGGAGCAGGAGCAGGAGCAGCGGCAGCAGCAGCAGCAGCGACGGCAACGUCGUCAUUUAUCUAAGGCAGCAGCUUAACGGGGACACAGUCGCCCCGCCAUAGAUAUUUGGCUGAAUAUCUAAGCAGGGGCGGCUGCCCCAGCAGCAACCCCUCGACAGGAAGGAAUCAAACACAAACACAAACACACACACACACGCAUACCACCCCAACAAGCAAUCUAAGUUUCUGCGGCGAAUUCAACACAAACACAAGCACAACAUCACACACACACUCACUCACACACACGCAUACACAGAGAGAGCUACAGCCUAAGCAAGAGAAAUGGAGAGAGCAAGAGCGAGAGCAGCGAGCGCAGCACGAGAGAGCAUCUUUGGCAGCCCAAAAAGCGCACAACGAAAACAACAUUUCGCAAGUAUGUUUUGACCUUACGUUUUAGCUUAACGUUUUUCAGUUGCACUUUUAAAACCUUUCGAUUUCAAAGGCCGCUGCACAGCGUUAGCCAACAAAAACAAAUCGAAAUUAAAUAUCUCAAAAGAAAUAUUUUACCAAAUUAAUACGCAAAACAAGAAAAAACAGCUAAAAGAGCUCAAAUUAUCCAAAGAAAUUCUAAAUUUCCACUUUCGGCUACUCUGGCAAGCAACAAUUUACAAAAUCCACAAAAUUCUAACACUAACCGGCAAUCAAAA